rnacentral:rRNA from 1 species
GACGAACGCUGGCGGCGUGCCUAAUACAUGCAAGUCGAACGAGAGCGACCGGUGCUUGCACUGGUCAAUCUAGUGGCGAACGGGUGAGUAACACGUGGGUAACCUGCCCAUCAGAGGGGGAUAACAUCCGGAAACGGAUGCUAAAACCGCAUAGGUCUUCGAACCGCAUGGUUUGAAGAGGAAAAGAGGCGCAAGCUUCUGCUGAUGGUUGGACCCGCGGUGCAUUAGCUAGUUGGUGAGGUAACGGCUCACCAAGGCCGUGAUGCAUAGCCGACCUGAGAGGGUGAUCGGCCACAUUGGGACUGAGACACGGCCCAGACUCCUACGGGAGGCAGCAGUAGGGAAUCUUCCACAAUGGACGCAAGUCUGACGGAGCAACGCCGCGUGAGUGAAGAAGGUUUUCGGAUCGUAAAACUCUGUUGUUAGAGAAGAACAAGUGCUAGAGUAACUGUUAGCGCCUUGACGGUAUCUAACCAGAAAGCCACGGCUAACUACGUG